rnacentral:rRNA from 1 species
AUGGAGGCGGCUGUGGUAAGUAGCGUCGUAGGCGCUGUGGUAACCAAGCUCCACAAGAUGAUUGAAGACGACAGCAUGCUGCGGGUCGAUCUUAAGAAAUCCCUCCACGACAUCAAGAAGGAGAUGCAGAUGAUGACCAAGGCCAUCGUCAUGUACGGUGAGUCCAAGGACCACUGGCCAUGGAUCCUCGAGCUGCAGGAGCUGGCGUACGACACGGAGGACUGCCUAGAUAUCUUCGAGGAGAAGGCGGCAUGCGAGGCCGGCGUGCCAUGGUACCGCCGGAAGCUUCACCAGUUAAGAACGGUGAACAUCCGCACUCAGUUUGCCAGAGAGCUCAAGGUUCUCAAGCAACGCGUUCUGGAAGCAUUUGGGCGGAGAGACAGGUACAUCGGCAGCAACACCCUAUCUGCACCGGUGGAGCUGGGCGCCUCCUCAAAAUUCACCUCCUACACCCCGGAGUCUGAGCUCGUGGGCAUCACCAAGCCAAAAGCAGAGCUUCUUGAAUUGCUUGGGGAGGAAGAGAAACCAAGGAGGGUGGUCUCCAUCUUGGGACCUCGCGGCAUCGGGAAGACAACUCUUGCUAGGGUGGUCUAUGAUGACACUUGUGUGAAGAGCCAAUUUCCUUGCCGUGCUUGGGUUGUGGCCUCGCAGCACAGAGGAGACAAAGAGAUUCUGAAGGAGAUACUCCGACAAGUCAAGGUCUCCUCCUCUUCUGAUGCGGAUCUCGGUGAAGAUCUCAAUAUGCACCUGCAGACUAAUACGAGGUACUUAAUUGUAAUUGAUGACAUGCAGACUUCUCUACUGGAUACGAUCGGGUCUUACUUCUCCAGUAAUGGCAGAAUCAUUGUGACCACAAAUAUGCAGUCCAUAGCCAAUAGCUGCAGCACGAAUGGGGGUUAUAUAUACAGAAUGGAAGCUCUUAACAAAGAAGAUUCUAAAGCUUUGCUUUUAAAAAUUGUUCUUGGUGAUGUGACAAAAUCUCCUUCACCUCAUUUUGAGGAAGGUUCAGAAAGCAUCUUGAAGAAAUGUGAAGGCUUACCACUUGGCAUAGUAAACAUUGCAAAUUAUUUGAAAGAACAAGGGCCAGAAAAGAUCACAGUCGCUAGUUGCAAAAAUAUGUGCAGAAAUCUAGGUUCUCGUAUGCAUAGUAAUGAUGCUCUUGCAAGAAUGAAGAAAGUGCUCAUCCAUAGCUAUGACAAUCUUCCUAGCCAUGAUCUAAAAACCUGCUUGCUUUCCGUAAGCAUAUACCCGAAGGAUCAGCCAAUCAAAAGAAAAAGCCUAGUUAGAAGAUGGUUAGCCGAAGGAUUUGCGGUCAAAGUUGUCAGUUGCAAAGACAACGAUGUUGCUUGUGAACAUUUUGAGGGCUUGAUCAACAGGAGUAUCAUUCAACCAGUAGACAUUUGCAACAGUGUUGGUGUGAAGACGUGUCGCCUUCAUGGUAUAAUGCUUGAUUUCAUAGUACACAAGUCAGCCUGUGAGAAUUUCAUUACUCUGAUUCACAAUGAUGAAAUCAUAACCAAUAAAAGUUCUGAUUGUGCUGUCCGUCGACUCUCUCUCCAUAAACCAAAUGAAGAAGGUGGCAAAGCAGUAAUGGGAAUAGAUAUAUCCCAGAUCAGAUCACUAACAAUCUUUGAGCAUACUGGCCAAGCUCUUGUGGAUUUUCGCAAGUGCAAGUUGCUGCGAGUGUUAGAUCUUGAAAACUGCAAGGAGCUUACUGAUUGCGACCUUGACAGCAUAUGCAAAUUACUGCAACUGAAGUAUCUGAGCCUUAGGGGUACUGAUGUCAGUAGGCUUCCGAAGGAAAUAGCGAAGCUGCUCCAUUUGGGAACACUGGACAUACGGGGUACAAGAGUGAACAUGUUGCCCAAAGAAGUUCUGAAUCUACCAGAGUUAACUCACUUGUUUGGAAAAUUUGAGCUGUCUUGUGAACUUGGCAGGGCUGCUACAAGGGGCAAUAGCCAGUCCUUAUUUUUGGGGGAUAGCAAAUUGCAAACUUUGGCUGGAUUUCUGAUAGGUGAGAGUCAGACUUUUCAAAAGAUUUUACUCGGUAUGAAGAAACUGAGGAAGGUUAAAAUACUGGCCGAGAGUACUCCAAAUAGUGUUAUAACUGAGCUUCUAGUCUAUUCACUCAAAAAGAAAUUCAUUGGCGCCAAUCCUCUUGAUUCUCUAUCAGUUGAUUUUGGUGAUCACUCCAUAGACUUCCUGGACUCCCUUGAUGCCUGCUGUGCUCUUACUUCGAUCAAACUGCACGGUAACCUAACGAGAUUGCCUACCUUUAUCACAUCGCUGCAUGGAUUAUUGAAGUUGCAUCUGGUAUCGACGGGCUUAGAUAGCGAGGUUCUAUCAACACUGCAAAAUUUACAUCUAUUGAUUUAUCUGAAGUUAGUUGAGGAUCGCCUUGAAUUUGGCAAUGGAAGCUUCAAUGUUGAAAAGGAGGGAUUCCAAAGCCUUCAACGACUCUGCAUCCAGGCACAAAAACUUCCACAAAUGAGUAUCGCGGAGGGAGCUAUGCAGCAUCUCUACUCUCUUCAGUUGAUUUGUGCAGACAUCAGUGGUGUUCAUGAAGACGAGAUUAAACAUCUCGAGGGCCUCAAGGAAAUAACCCUUGCUCCUACGGUUGGUGCAGGCACAAGGAGAUCAUGGGAAGCAGCAGUGAAGCAGCAUAGAAACAGGCCAGUGAUUAUGGAUUAA